UGGGGAAUAUUGCACAAUGGGCGAAAGCCUGAUGCAGCAACGCCGCGUGAGGGAUGACGGCCUUCGGGUUGUAAACCUCUUUUAGCAGGGAAGAAGCGAGAGUGACGGUACCUGCAGAAAAAGCGCCGGCUAACUACGUGCCAGCAGCCGCGGUAAUACGUAGGGCGCAAGCGUUAUCCGGAAUUAUUGGGCGUAAAGAGCUCGUAGGCGGUUUGUCGCGUCUGCUGUGAAAUCCCGAGGCUCAACCUCGGGCCUGCAGUGGGUACGGGCAGACUAGAGUGCGGUAGGGGAGAUUGGAAUUCCUGGUGUAGCGGUGGAAUGCGCAGAUAUCAGGAGGAACACCGAUGGCGAAGGCAGAUCUCUGGGCCGUAACUGACGCUGAGGAGCGAAAGGGUGGGGAGCAAACAGG
rnacentral:rRNA from 2 species